rfam:Moraxella nonliquefaciens strain CCTG 60284 contig_2, whole genome shotgun sequence.
CCAUCAUCACCAUCACCCCUAAGACUCUUUUGGGCGUGUGGUUUUGCUUGAAAGAAAAAGACUUUCAAGGCGAUAACACAAAGACAGCAUCAACCCUUGAAAGCGAUUUCAGGGGUUUUUAUUU